ACUCCUACGGGAGGCAGCAGUGGGGAAUAUUGCACAAUGGGCGCAAGCCUGAUGCAGCAACGCCGCGUGAGCGAUGAAGGCCUUCGGGUCGUAAAGCUCUGUCUUCAAGGAAGAAUAAAUGACGGUACUUGAGGAGGAAGCCCCGGCUAACUACGUGCCAGCAGCCGCGGUAAUACGUAGGGGCAAGCGUUAUCCGGAAUCACUGGGCGUAAAGGGUGCGUAGGCGGUUUUUCAAGUCAGAAGUGAAAGGCUAUGGCUCAACCAUAGUAAGCUUUUGAAAACUGUUAAAACUUGAGUGCAGGAGAGGAAAAGUGGAAUUCCUAGUGUAGAGGUGAAAUUCGUAGAUAUUAGGAGGAACACCAGUGGCGAAGGCGACUUUCUGGACUGUAAACUGACGCUGAGGCACGAAAGCGUGGGAGCGAACAGGAUUAGAUACCCUGGUAGCGACUGA
rnacentral:rRNA from 1 species